rnacentral:rRNA from 1 species
NNNNNNNNNNNNNNNNNAGCCGGCGAUGUCCGAAUGGGGAAACCCAGUGCAAUUCGUUGCACUAUCGUUAACUGAAUACAUAGGUUAACGAGGCGAACCGGGGGAACUGAAACAUCUAAGUACCCCGAGGAAAAGAAAUCAACCGAGAUUCCCCCAGUAGCGGCGAGCGAACGGGGAGCAGCCCAGAGUCUGAAUCAGCUUGUGUGUUAGUGGAACGGUCUGGAAAGUCCGACGGUACAGGGUGAUAGUCCCGUACACCAAAAUGCACAGGUUGUGAACUCGAAGAGUAGGGCGGGACACGUGGUAUCCUGUCUGAAUAUGGGGGGACCAUCCUCCAAGGCUAAAUACUCCUGACUGACCGAUAGUGAACCAGUACCGUGAGGGAAAGGCGAAAAGAACCCCGGCGAGGGGAGUGAAAAAGAACCUGAAACCGUGUACGUACAAGCAGUGGGAGCACCUUCGGGUGUGACUGCGUACCUUUUGUAUAAUGGGUCAGCGACUUAUAUUCUGUAGCAAGGUUAACCGUAUAGGGGAGCCGCAGGGAAACCGAGUCUUAACUGGGCGUUAAGUUGCAGGGUAUAGACCCGAAACCCGGUGAUCUAGCCAUGGGCAGGUUGAAGGUUGGGUAACACUAACUGGAGGACCGAACCGACUAAUGUUGAAAAAUUAGCGGAUGACUUGUGGCUGGGGGUGAAAGGCCAAUCAAACCGGGAGAUAGCUGGUUCUCCCCGAAAGCUAUUUAGGUAGCGCCUCGUGAACUCAUCUUCGGGGGUAGAGCACUGUUUCGGCUAGGGGGUCAUCCCGACUUACCAACCCGAUGCAAACUACGAAUACCGAAGAAUGUUAUCACGGGAGACACACGGCGGGUGCUAACGUCCGUCGUGAAGAGGGAAACAACCCAGACCGCCAGCUAAGGUCCCAAAGUCAUGGUUAAGUGGGAAACGAUGUGGGAAGGCACAGACAGCCAGGAUGUUGGCUUAGAAGCAGCCAUCAUUUAAAGAAAGCGUAAUAGCUCACUGGUCGAGUCGGCCUGCGCGGAAGAUGUAACGGGGCUAAACCAUGCACCGAAGCUGCGGCAGCGACACUAUGUGUUGUUGGGUAGGGGAGCGUUCUGUAAGCCUGCGAAGGUGACCUGUGAGGGUUGCUGGAGGUAUCAGAAGUGCGAAUGCUGACAUAAGUAACGAUAAAGCGGGUGAAAAGCCCGCUCGCCGGAAGACCAAGGGUUCCUGUCCAACGUUAAUCGGGGCAGGGUGAGUCGACCCCUAAGGCGAGGCCGAAAGGCGUAGUCGAUGGGAAACAGGUUAAUAUUCCUGUACUUGGUGUUACUGCGAAGGGGGGACGGAGAAGGCUAUGUUAGCCGGGCGACGGUUGUCCCGGUUUAAGCAUGUAGGCUGGUUAUCCAGGCAAAUCCGGAUAAUCAAGGCUGAGGUGUGAUGACGAGGCACUACGGUGCUGAAGUAACAAAUGCCCUGCUUCCAGGAAAAGCCUCUAAGCAUCAGGUAACAUCAAAUCGUACCCCAAACCGACACAGGUGGUCAGGUAGAGAAUACCAAGGCGCUUGAGAGAACUCGGGUGAAGGAACUAGGCAAAAUGGUGCCGUAACUUCGGGAGAAGGCACGCUGGUGUGUAGGUGAAGUCCCUGCGGAUGGAGCUGAGACCAGUCGAAGAUACCAGCUGGCUGCAACUGUUUAUUAAAAACACAGCACUGUGCAAACACGAAAGUGGACGUAUACGGUGUGACGCCUGCCCGGUGCCGGAAGGUUAAUUGAUGGGGUUAUCCGUAAGGAGAAGCUCUUGAUCGAAGCCCCGGUAAACGGCGGCCGUAACUAUAACGGUCCUAAGGUAGCGAAAUUCCUUGUCGGGUAAGUUCCGACCUGCACGAAUGGCGUAAUGAUGGCCAGGCUGUCUCCACCCGAGACUCAGUGAAAUUGAACUCGCUGUGAAGAUGCAGUGUACCCGCGGCAAGACGGAAAGACCCCGUGAACCUUUACUAUAGCUUGACACUGAACAUUGAGCCUUGAUGUGUAGGAUAGGUGGGAGGCUUUGAAGCGUGGACGCCAGUCUGCGUGGAGCCAACCUUGAAAUACCACCCUUUAAUGUUUGAUGUUCUAACGUUGGCCCCUGACCGGGGUUGCGGACAGUGUCUGGUGGGUAGUUUGACUGGGGCGGUCUCCUCCCAAAGCGUAACGGAGGAGCACGAAGGUUAGCUAAUCCUGGUCGGACAUCAGGAGGUUAGUGCAAUGGCAUAAGCUAGCUUGACUGCGAGCGUGACGGCGCGAGCAGGUGCGAAAGCAGGUCAUAGUGAUCCGGUGGUUCUGAAUGGAAGGGCCAUCGCUCAACGGAUAAAAGGUACUCCGGGGAUAACAGGCUGAUACCGCCCAAGAGUUCAUAUCGACGGCGGUGUUUGGCACCUCGAUGUCGGCUCAUCACAUCCUGGGGCUGAAGUAGGUCCCAAGGGUAUGGCUGUUCGCCAUUUAAAGUGGUACGCGAGCUGGGUUUAGAACGUCGUGAGACAGUUCGGUCCCUAUCUGCCGUGGGCGCUGGAGAAUUGAGGGGGGCUGCUCCUAGUACGAGAGGACCGGAGUGGACGCAUCACUGGUGUUCGGGUUGUCAUGCCAAUGGCACUGCCCGGUAGCUAAAUGCGGAAGAGAUAAGUGCUGAAAGCAUCUAAGCACGAAACUUGCCCCGAGAUGAGUUCUCCCUGAGACUUUAAGUCUCCUGAAGGAACGUUGAAGACGACGACGUUGAUAGGCCGGGUGUGUAAGCGCAGCGAUGCGUUGAGCUAACCGGUACUAAUGAACCGUGAGGCUUAACCUU